rnacentral:rRNA from 1 species
AGGUUGAAGGUUGGGUAACACUAACUGGAGGACCGAACCGACUAAUGUUGAAAAAUUAGCGGAUGACCUGUGGCUGGGGGUGAAAGGCCAAUCAAACCGGGAGAUAGCUGGUUCUCCCCGAAAGCUAUUUAGGUAGCGCCUCGUGAAUUCAUCUCCGGGGGUAGAGCACUGUUUCGGCUAGGGGGCCAUCCCGGCUUACCAACCCGAUGCAAACUGCGAAUACCGGAGAAUGUUAUCACGGGAGACACACGGCGGGUGCUAACGUCCGUCGUGAAGAGGGAAACAACCCAGACCGCCAGCUAAGGUCCCAAAGUCAUGGUUAAGUGGGAAACGAUGUGGGAAGGCCCAGACAGCCAGGAUGUUGGCUUAGAAGCAGCCAUCAUUUAAAGAAAGCGUAAUAGCUCACUGGUCGAGUCGGCCUGCGCGGAAGAUGUAACGGGGCUAAACCAUGCACCGAAGCUGCGGCAGCGACACUCAGGUGUUGUUGGGUAGGGGAGCGUUCUGUAAGCCUGCGAAGGUGGCCUGUGAGGGUUGCUGGAGGUAUCAGAAGUGCGAAUGCUGACAUAAGUAACGAUAAAGCGGGUGAAAAGCCCGCUCGCCGGAAGACCAAGGGUUCCUGUCCAACGUUAAUCGGGGCAGGGUGAGUCGACCCCUAAGGCGAGGCCGAAAGGCGUAGUCGAUGGGAAACGGGUUAAUAUUCCCGUACUUGGUGUUACUGCGAAGGGGGGACGGAGAAGGCUAUGUUGGCCGGGCGACGGUUGUCCCGGUUUAAGCGUGUAGGUGUGUGUUCCAGGUAAAUCCGGUU